UUAAUUCGAUGCAACGCGAAGAACCUUACCUACUCUUGACAUCCAGAGAAGCCAGCGGAGACGCAGGUGUGCCUUCGGGAACUCUGAGACAGGUGCUGCAUGGCUGUCGUCAGCUCGUGUUGUGAAAUGUUGGGUUAAGUCCCGCAACGAGCGCAACCCUUAUCCUUGUUUGCCAGCGAGUAAUGUCGGGAACUCCAGGGAGACUGCCGGUGAUAAACCGGAGGAAGGUGGGGACGACGUCAAGUCAUCAUGGCCCUUACGAGUAGGGCUACACACGUGCUACAAUGGCGCAUACAGAGGGCAGCAAGCUAGCGAUAGUGAGCGAAUCCCAAAAAGUGCGUCGUAGUCCGGAUUGGAGUCUGCAACUCGACUCCAUGAAGUCGGAAUCGCUAGUAAUCG
rnacentral:rRNA from 1 species